rnacentral:lncRNA from 1 species
AUUUUUGAACUCGUGGUGGCUCUGUAUUAUUUGCAAAUUAUUUGCAAAAUACUCGUAUAAGGAGAGGGACAUAUUUUAUGCUGGAAUAUUGUCAAUAUAAAUGGUGCUCUAAAAAUGUGUCCGACUGUAAAGAUAUGUCUAAUUAAACAGUGUCAUAUAUAAUAAAAACGUAUCCUUUUAUUUAAAGAUGCUUUCAUUCACGGUUUCAUGCUUCAAUUUGAAAUGACGAUAGUUUAUUUUGGACCAGUGAUGAUCUAAUUCAAAAUUUUGAUUUAAUAACCAUGAAUGAAAUAACCACUUUCUGUUAGUUCUCUUAAAAUUUAUUAAGAAAUCUAUAUUGAAGGCCGUUUUAUCCUUUAGUGUUGUAGAAAAAUACACUUUACAUUUUGAAAUUUAAAAUGACCUUCUUUUAAAUAAAAUUUUAAAACAAAUGCCUCUAACUAAGGAAGAAAUUUUAGAAAUACAUCAGAAGUACCAUGUUAGCCAUACAACAAGUGAAUCAUGCUAUGACACAUGUGCACUUAUUUUAAAAAACUAUUAUUCAAAUGGUGGUUAUAUUGAAUAUAAAUAUGUACAUAUCAUACAUGACACAAACCGCGUCAACCCUUCUGUUGGAUCUGGGGUGAAUCAUGCAAUUUUAUAUCUAAAGCUCAUGACAUAAACUUAAUUCAUGAAUAAUAUAACACUAGCCUUGGCCUUUGUUAUAAACAUAUAAUAAUCUAUGUGCCUCAUUCAAAAAUUUAUUAAAAAACUUACAUAGUUCAUAUCUCAUUGUACAUACAUUCACUUCGAAAAUAUACAUAUAAACAUAAACGUGGUCAAAAUGUAAGUCGUGCAGUAAUGCGUGUCGUGGUCCAACCUCAAUUGAUCAGAAAUUGAACUACACGAAAUCCUAUGGAAACCUUAGAGAAAUGGGGUAAAUAGGAAAAUAGUAAGCUUGUGACUCAAUGAAUGAAUAAAUUAUAUAUAUAAAUAAAUUAGUGCUUAAGUGCUCGUCAUAAUUGUAUGACAUAACUUUACAUUGAAACGCUUUACAAAAGCAAAACAUGAACUCGUAUAUACAUACAUGACAAAAUUGCACCAAAUGAUAUACAGGGGAAAUAACUCUCAAUACUCACUGGGAUCAUCAUCGCAUGAGUAAAAAGGGGGAAAAACCUCUCAAUACUCAGUAGAAUUAACAACAUCACAAGGGUCGAGUAAUUUAAUUCUCAAUACGCAUGCGUGGAGCCUAUGGGAAAAGGUACACAUAUGGUGCCUGUCAAUUACAUCUCAUGACUCAGUCAAUCAUAUAAUAUACGUACAUAUAAUCAUAACAUUAUACUAAAUCAUACUAUUAAACAUAAAUGCUUUGUAAAAUACAUAAUAGUAAUAAAAUAAUCACUCACAGAUCCUAUUGAUGAAGCACGCACGUGCUUUGCUCACAGAUCCUAUUGAUGAAGCACGCACGUGCUUUGCUUUAAGCUAACAGCUUGCUAUUGCUUUGACAAUUAACCACAUGUGCCUCCUUUUAGCUUGCACGUGUGUCAAAAUACAUGCAUUAGAAUUGGGUUGUAUUCUCAUGGGUGAAGCAUGAAUGUGCUUUGCUUUAAGCUAACAGCUUGCUAUUGCUUUGACAAUUAGCGACAUGUGACUCGUUUAUAGUUUAGGAAAUAACAAUAUUGAAUAGAAAUAUUCUUAGAAUAUAGUAUUUUUUUUCCAUUCAAACAUUUUCUCAUUUCGACAAAGGUCACAAAAAAAAUACUUUUUUAAUUUAAAUGUAAAUAUUUAAAAAUCAUAUAUAAGUUAUAAAAUAAAUAAUUAAUAUUUUUUUAAAAGUUAGACUUUAUAUGCUUAACAGUCAACCCUAAGGAACAUGAAUAAGAGCUACUAAAAAAAAAAGAAUAAUUUUGAAACUAAAUACAAUUAAUUGAGAGAUGAGGACGGAUAAGAUAAAUUCAGAGAUAAAAAUUAAAGCACAGAAGCACGUGUGUUGAAAAGUAUGGUGUUCGUGUGGAAUUUUCAGUUAACAGUCUACAAAGCAGUGGAAUUAAUCAAUCAUCGUGGAGUGCACGGUGGUUGGACAAUGAGAUGAAAUUGAAAAACUAUCACGGAACUUGAAGGAAGGUUCAUGGCAUCGAUUUAUUCUAUAGAGUCACGCACAUUUCGUUCAAUAAUUGUUUUCAUCCGAAUCGAAAUCUCUCUCUAAUCAAUUCAACUGUUUCUGUUGAUUAUGGCUUCUUCUUAUCGAAACAACAAGAAGUAUGAUGUUUUUGUUAGUUUCAGAGGAGAGGACACCCGAGACAACUUUACUAGCCAUCUCUAUUCUGCUCUGUGUCGACAAAAUAUCCAAACUUUCAUUGAUGACCAACUUAACAGAGGAGACGAAAUUUCGGAGUCACUGGUGAAUGCAAUUGAAGCAUCAGCCAUUUCAGUUAUCGUCUUCUCAGAAGGGUAUGCAUCUUCCAGAUGGUGUCUCGAUGAACUUGUAAAGAUCCUCGACUGCAAGGAGUAUGCACAGAUUGUGAUUCCGGUUUUCUAUCGGGUUGAUCCAUCAGACGUGAGAAACCAAACUGGGAGUUUUGGAGAUUCAUUUUCGAAGCUUGAAGAAAGAUUAAAUUUCUCAUACUAAAAUUUAACAAUAAAUUCACGCAGCACUCUUAGUUAAAUUUCCGGAUGCUAAACUACAAUUUUAAAAAUUUUUAAGCAUCAAAUUCAAGACUUCCUGACUUCCCACUUUUGUGCUCAUAUAAAAUAAUUUUGACAGAAUUAAUAAUAAAAGCGCGAGAAUUUUACAAUUUUUAUAUAGCAAAAUUAGUGGUGCUCUGUAGUUUUUCAAGCAAUUUCAUUUCUAUAUAUCACCAUUAAAAAAAAAAAAACUCACGAAUAUUCUUGUAACUUAAGAGUUAUCAAUUUAUUGUGAGAUUGUAGACUUAUAGUGGUAUAUAUUAAUUUUAAUAGGAAAAUUGACAAUCUACUUUAUUUCAUAUUUAAUGCAAAUUCCUCCUAUUAAUUAAUUUGAAGUUACCGCGGCUAAUUUUAUGUAUUUGCUAGGCGUGAGUCGGAACUUAUAAAUGAAGUUGUUAAUCACAUUUUGAAGAGAUUGGAUGAAGUGUUUCGGCCGCGUGAUAACAAAAACCAGCUGGUUGGAGUGGAAUCAAACAGUUGAGGAAAUUGAAUCCCUAUUAGGUGUUGAGUCGAAAGAUGUUUACGCUUUAGGGAUUUGGGGCAUUGGUGGUAUAGGCAAAACAGCAAUCGCUAGAGCUAUUUUCGACAAAAUCUCGGGUGAUUUUGAAGGUUCUUGCUUCCUCGAAAAUGUUAGAGAAGAGUCACAAAGACCAGGAGGAUUAGCUUGCUUACGACAAAAACUUCUUUCAAAUUUAUUGAAGGAUAAAAAUGUGAUGCCUUAUAUUGACCUCAAUUUUAGAAGGCUCAGCCGCAUGAAGGUUUUGAUUGUUUUUGAUGAUGUGACUUGCUUCAGCCAAUUAGAAUCUUUAAUUGGAAGCCUUGAUCGGUUGACGCCUGUGAGUCGAAUCAUAAUAACCACCAGAAAUAAACAAGUGCUUAGAAAUUGGGGGGUGAGGAAAAUAUAUGAGAUGGAGGCAUUAGAAU